AAGUCGUAACAAGGUUUCUGUAGGUGAACCUGCAGAAGGAUCAUCAAUGAAUUCCAGUAUUCAACCUGGCUUUGGAGACCUUUUGGCCAUGCGCUUGAAAGUUGGCAAUGCCUAUCAACCACCAAUCUUUGUCUUUGGCGAGGGUGUCUUUUGUAGAGCCAAGAGACCUUUUUGCUGUUGACUUUGACUUUUUUUGAGUUUGGUACCUUCGCUUGUAGUUUUUGGGCUUGGCGUGGCCUGGGUGUUCAUAGUCUAAACUGACCUUGGCAACUUGCAACUUCCAUUCUUGUAAUUGCGGCAAACACAAGUUGAUAUUAAAAUACAACUGUUAACGAUGGAUCUCUUGGCUCCC
rnacentral:misc_RNA from 1 species